rnacentral:rRNA from 1 species
UACGUAGGGGGCAAGCGUUGUCCGGAAUCAUUGGGCGUAAAGCGCGUGUAGGCGGUUCGAUAAGUCUGCUGUGAAAGUCCAGGGCUCAACCCUGGAAAGCCGGUGGAUACUGUCGGACUAAAGUGCGGAAGAGGCGAGUGGAAUUCCCGGUGUAGCGGUGAAAUGCGCAGAUAUCGGGAGGAACACCAAUUGCGAAGGCAGCUCGCUGGGACGUUACUGACGCUGAGACGCGAAAGCGUGGGGAGCAAACAGG